CUUCUCUGAAUGAUUACUACGGUUCAAGAUUUCAAUCACAAAGUACAGGGAUAGUACUUAGCAAUGAAAUGGGUGAUUUCUUCAGUUCUAGAAGUUUGUCUCCACCACCCGCACCUUCCAAUUAUAUCCAACCAUUCAAAAGGGCAUUGCCAUCAAUGACACCCACCAUUGUCCUAAAGGGUAAAAAACUGAAAGCAGUUUUAGGUUGAGCUGGAGGAAUCAACAUGACAACAUUCCUACUGCAACGACUCAGGUUUUCUUAAAUCAUUUGGUCAUGGGUUUGAAUCCACUCUCCUCUAUAAUGGCUCUGAGAUACUUUCAUACGUUAAUUCGCAAUGCGCUGUAUUAUGGACAUCUUCUCUUGGUGACCAGUAUGCAGCCAUUGUCAAUGCUCAAGAAGAAGGGCCAUGCCAUGCCCUACACUCCGUAGACAGUAGGACUAUUUGCCAGCUCGUUGCUCAAAAGUUGGAGGGUCCAAACUUGGGGAUGCUCGCGGCGGCUAACGACCCAAGAAAGGACAUGAAGGAUGAUCUUUUGUGUUCACCGCUCGAUGGUGCUGUUGUUUCAGUGCUGAACUGACAAUCUUCUGCAGGCUCUUCGCUACGCUGCUCAAUUCGGCUCCCUUCGCUACCGACGGUGCUCUCGCAAGAGCGGAGUUCACCAUGCCCUUAACGUAGAUCCAUACAGUGGAGUCUUUGGUUCAGACAGGGAGAAGUAUGCAAGAGAUGUCGAAGAUCUCAUUACCUUUGGAACUUCAGGGCAUGUAGCUGGUUUUAUUUCUGAAGCCAUACAGGAGUGGGUGGAAUUAUUGAAUUGGCCCCAGAUUACUUCCCUGCCGUAUACAUCAGUAUUGAGAAAGCAGGAGGGCUUUGUAUUGCCGAUGAGGUUCAAUCUGGGUUUGCUCACACUGGGAGCCAUUGUUGGGGAUUUGAGACCCAAGGCAUUGUGCCUGACAUACUGACAAUGGCAAAGGCGAACAAGCUUCAUGAAGUGUGCUGAAGAUUUCAUAGCUAGGGUUUAUCUGCAACUUAACAAGAUUUUUCAAUGCUCAGUGGUUUCGAUUUCUCAAUCUCAAACCUCUAGUGGUCUUUUUUUACUGGUAUUGAUUUCUCUAUCCAUUGAUUGCUUUAUGACCACACACCCUCAUCAAACUCUUAAUCACCACUGUCACUAUCUCUCCUCUCUCUCUUGAUGUGUAUUUUGCUAUAGCAUUGCAUGAUGUCAAUAUUUUCACUUUGACUCUAUUCUUGAUGCAUGUCACAAUGUUUUCACUCUGUAUAGUAAUUUUGAAAUUCAUGUUCUAUUUUAGCUUUAUUAUGUGUUUCAGCUUUAAUAUAUGCAUUGGUUCCCCUACUUACAGUGAAAACU